GAUGAAGAACGUAGCGAAAUGCGAUAAGUAAUGUGAAUUGCAGAAUUCAGUGAAUCAUCGAAUCUUUGAACGCACAUUGCGCCCGCCAGUAUUCUGGCGGGCAUGCCUGUUCGAGCGUCGUUACAACCCUCAGGCCCCCGGGCCUGGCGUUGGGGAUCGGCGGAAGCCCCCUGUGGGCACACGCCGUCCCUCAAAUACAGUGGCGGUCCCGCCGCAGCUUCCAUUGCGUAGUAGCUAACACCUCGCAACUGGAGAGCGGCGCGGCCAUGCCGUAAAACACCCAACUUCUGAAUGUUGACCUCGAAUCAGGUAGGAAUACCCGCUGAACUUAAGCAUAUCAAUAAGCGGAGGA
rnacentral:misc_RNA from 1 species